rnacentral:rRNA from 1 species
GACGAACGCUGGCGGCGUGCUUAACACAUGCAAGUCGAACGCUGAAGACCUGGCUUUUGUUGGGUUGGAUGAGUGGCGAACGGGUGAGUAACACGUGAGUAACCUGCCAUCUUCUUUGGGAUAACGCCCGGAAACGGGUGCUAAUACUGGAUAUUCCCUGCUCUUCGCAUGGGGGUUGGUGGUACGGAUUGUUCUGGUGGGGGAUGGGCUCGCGGCCUAUCAGCUUGUUGGUGGGGUGAUGGCCUACCAAGGCUUGGACGGGUCGCCGGCGUGGGAGGGGGACCGGUCAAAUGAGACAUGAGAUACGGUCCAGAGGGAUACGGGAGGCGGGAGUGGGGAAUAAUGCACGAUGGGCGAAAGCCGGCUGCAGGGACGCGGCGUGAGGGACGGCGGGUUUCGGGUUGCAAAUCUCUUUCGAUAAUGGCCAAGGCGCAACUGUGGGUUGUGGUGAGGGUAGUGGGUAAAGAAGCGCCGGCUAACUACGUG